rnacentral:lncRNA from 1 species
UCCGGGAAGAGCUGGGGACACGGCUCGGCCACCGGCAGCCCCGGGCACCCAGCACGGGGGGGACAUCAGGUGCCACGUCCCCCCAUGUCCUGCUGUCACCCCCAUUUCUUGCCUGUCCCCAGCUGGGGGUCAGCCUCUCCAUGACACACACACCCCCCACCCGGGGAGCUCACACGGAUACGCCGUGCACACGCAGGUACGCCGUGCACACACAGACACACCGUGCCACACACAGACACACCAACCCUGCACACACACACUGCACAGACACACCAACCCUGCACACACACACGCUGCGCACACACAGAGACACCAACCCCGCACACCCGCACGGGGGGUGGCUGUGCAGACCACGCUUGCACACUCCAACCCCAGGCGCGCGCACACACACACCCCUUUACACGCGCACAGACACGGUGCGCGCCGAGCCUGCCCGCAACACACGCUCCCCCGUGCAUGCAGGCAACUUGCACACCCACCGCGCACACGCACGCACCGUGUGGCUUGCACAGGCGCAGCGUGCGCGCACGGGCUGUACACACGCGGGCUGUACACGCACGGGGACAGCGUGCACACCCUCACAGUCACACUUGUGCACACCCUCAGUCACACCGCGCACACCCUCACAGUCACACCGUGCACAAACACACCGCGUACACGCACACAGCCAGCGCAGAGGCCGCGGGCGCGCACCGACACCCCGUUUGCGCACACACACACACACGCACGCGCCCCCCGACCCCCCGUUUGCACACGCACAGCCCCGCACCGCGCACACACGCCGCGCGCGCGGGCCGUGCGUGCACACACGCGCCGCGCACGCACACGCGCUGCACGCACAGGCUGCGCACACACACACAUACACACACCCCCGCCGCUCACAGACACGCACACACCCGCCGUGCACACGUACACACACACACACCCGCGCUCCCGCGCCCACUUACCCGCCCGCCGAGAGCGCGCGCGCGGCCGCCCCCGCGCGCGGCGCCCACCGCCCUCACGCCGGGCCGCCGCAGAGCUUCCCCCCACCGGUGCGGCACCCUGCGGGUCGUGCCGAACCCUUAACGCGUCCCGCCGCUCCUCACCGACCCCCGCUCCGCUCCCGCACCGCCCGGCCGCCGCCGCCGCUCUGCCCCCNNNNNNNNN